GAUGAACGCUGGCGGCGUGCCUAAUACAUGCAAGUCGAGCGAACAGACGAGGAGCUUGCUCCUCUGACGUUAGCGGCGGACGGGUGAGUAACACGUGGAUAACCUACCUAUAAGACUGGGAUAACUUCGGGAAACCGGAGCUAAUACCGGAUAAUAUAUUGAACCGCAUGGUUCAAUAGUGAAAGACGGUUUUGCUGUCACUUAUAGAUGGAUCCGCGCCGCAUUAGCUAGUUGGUAAGGUAACGGCUUACCAAGGCGACGUUGCGUAGCCGACCUGAGAGGGUGAUCGGCCACACUGGAACUGAGACACGGUCCAGACUCCUACGGGAGGCAGCAGUAGGGAAUCUUCCGCAAUGGGCGAAAGCCUGACGGAGCAACGCCGCGUGAGUGAUGAAGGUCUUCGGAUCGUAAAACUCUGUUAUUAGGGAAGAACAAAUGUGUAAGUAACUAUGCACGUCUUGACGGUACCUAAUCAAAAAGCCACGGCUAACUACGUG
rnacentral:rRNA from 1 species